UUCAUUUGUAAAGGUAUGUGUGUGAAACAUCAGAACUGAAUAAUGGACCAGAGAAUUCAGAGAUCUUUGGUUACCUGUUUCCGGUUUCGUCGGUUCACAUUGCUGCGUUCCUGACCUAGCUUCGCCUGCAUCAUUAGAUCAUAUUAUAAUAUGCAUUAUAGACUAUAGUUAUACAGCUUGAAUUUGAAAGAGCUACAUGGUCGUUGUUUCGAGUGCUUUUUCAUCUGCUGUGACAGACAGCAUCAACGGUUACCAACAUAAUAGGUGCAUUGCAAGUUGUGCAAUGCUGAAUGCAUACGUUUCGUCAGUGACUUCCUUCUGCCUCAUUGAUGCGAAACUGAUAAUAAACAUGCAAGAGAAUACAGCUAUAGUUACUCUGGACUGCCAUGAUAGAAACAUUGAAACAGAUAUUGACUGGCUUUAGGUAUGUAAGACGUUUUUAUUGGUGUUGCAAACGAUGAAACGAUCACUAAAUUCUGUGCCUAUGUGAGAUUUGUUGGUUCAUCGAAUAACAUCAAACUUACAGUAAGGUAAACGGUCAAGCAAAGUGUGCAAGGUCGUUGAUGGAGUAUUCCAUGUGAAAUCCUCUCACCAGUCUGAGCCCCACCAACUGAACAUCAGAGGACCAACUUGCACCUGCAGAAACUUCAGCAGGACUCACAUCCCCUGCAGACAUAUUUUUCAAGCUAUCGAUGAUGGUUUAAUGAAAUGGGAGGACCUACCUGAAGAUUACAGAAACAUACCGUUCUUCGUAAAAGAUAAAGGAAGUGAUAUUGGGAUAUGGCCAGCUGAUGCAGAUGUAAACAAAUGCUGCGAUUAUCCAGCAUCAGAAGACGAGGAUGAAGAAGUAGAAGAUGAUGAGGUUGGAGGAAAUGGGGAUAAAAGAAAGAAGAAACGGGACAUAGACUAUAUAAAGGAGAUUGGCGGGAGCUUUCAAACAGAAUAACUUCCUUCGUUAAUGAUCCCGAGUUUGACGUGAUGGACGAUGAUGUCCGUGCAUUAUUAUAUAAGAAACUGUCAGAUACCGCCAAUGAUGUGGCAUCCUAUAUUUACAAAAGAAACUAAUAUAGAUAACAUAGAUAAGAUUAUGUUUGAUAAUAUAUUACUUUAAAAGCCGUGCAAUCAUUUUAGAUAUUAGAUAUUAAACUAACCAUAUUAUGAUAUUCUCCGUCUAACUAUUCGAUCUGUCACCAUCUCACUAUUCAAUCUGUCUCAACGUUCAUUCUCUGUUUAACUAUUCAAUCUCUGUCUCAGUGUUCAUUUUCUUGUUUAACUAUUCAAUCUUUGUCUCAGCGUUCAUUCUCUGUCUCGACAUUCAUUUUCCGUCUGACUAUUCAA